AACGAACGCUGGCGGCAUGCCUAACACAUGCAAGUCGAACGAGACCUUCGGGUCUAGUGGCGCACGGGUGCGUAACGCGUGGGAAUCUGCCCUCAGGUACGGAAUAACUCAGGGAAACUUGAGCUAAUACCGUAUAAUGACUUCGGUCCAAAGAUUUAUCGCCUGGGGAUGAGCCCGCGUCGGAUUAGCUAGUUGGUGAGGUAAAGGCUCACCAAGGCGACGAUCCGUAGCUGGUCUGAGAGGAUGAUCAGCCACACUGGGACUGAGACACGGCCCAGACUCCUACGGGAGGCAGCAGUGGGAAAUAUUGGACAAUGGGCGCAAGCCUGAUCCAGCAAUGCCGCGUGAGUGAUGAAGGCCUUAGGGUUGUAAAGCUCUUUUACCCGGGAAGAUAAUGACUGUACCGGGAGAAUAAGCCCCGGCUAACUCCGUGCCAGCAGCCGCGGUAAUACGGAGGGGGCUAGCGUUGUUCGGAAUUACUGGGCGUAAAGCGCACGU
rnacentral:rRNA from 1 species